AUAGCUGGUUACUUGAUAAAAGAAUUUUAGUUCUACCUAAAGCCCAAAUAAAGUUUUAUAAACUAACAUUCAUGCUUUAGAGUUAUUCAAAUAAGGUACAGCCUAUUUGAAUAAGGAAACAACCUAGACUAAUGGGUAAGACAUCUACAGUGUAUUAAAGUGGGCCUAAAAGCAGCCACCUUCAAUAAUAGCGUCAAAGCUUACCUAUACAAGUACAUUCAAUUUCAUAUCCUAAUCCAAACCCUUUAUUUUCAUCAAGUAAUUCUAUAUAUCUAUAGAACAUAAAAUGUUAAAACUAGUAACAAGAAGUAAACCCUUCUCUUAAAUGCAAGUGUAAGCCAGGAAGGAUAAACCACUGUCAAUUAACACCAAUGAUUUUCAAUUAACAACACCACAAGAGAACCCUAAUAAAACAAAUGUUAAACUAACACAAGAGCAUUUCAAGAAAGAUUAAAAGAAAAAGAAGGAACUCGGCAAACACCAACCCCGCCUGUUUACCAAAAACAUCGCCUCUUGCCAAAUAUAAGAGGUCCAGCCUGCCCAGUGACCUAGUUCAACGGCCGCGGUAUCCUAACCGUGCGAAGGUAGCGUAAUCACUUGUUCUUUAAAUGGGGACUAGUAUGAAUGGCAUCACGAGGGUUACACUGUCUCCUUUUUUUGAUCAGUGAAACUAAUCUUCCCGUGAAGAAGCGGGAAUAUCUUUAUAAGACGAGAAGACCCUAUGGAGCUUUAAACAAAUUAACACCUGCUGCCCGAGAUUGUUCUUUCAGAAAUAUAAAACAUAGCAUAGCAUGAUGAUUAAUAGUUUUUGAUUGGGGUGAUCACGGAGUAAAAAACAACCUCCAUGCCGAAAGGGGUUUUACCCUGAGCAAAAAACCACAAUUUUAAGCACUAAAAAAUUAACGUUUAUUGACCCAGUAUAAUGAUCAACGAACCAAGUUACCCUAGGGAUAACAGCGCAAUCCACUUCAAGAGCUCCUAUCGACAAGUGGGUUUACGACCUCGAUGUUGGAUCAGGGUAUCCCAGUGGUGCAGCCGCUACUAACGGUUCGUUGUUCAACGAUUAAAACCCU
rnacentral:rRNA from 1 species